rfam:Allomyces macrogynus ATCC 38327 genomic scaffold supercont3.12, whole genome shotgun sequence.
GCCGGGAUGACCGAGCGGUCUAAGGUGCCGCACUCAAGUUGCGGUCUCGAAAGAGGCGUGGGUUCGAACCCCACUCCCGGUA